GAAUGAGACAGACAGCGAGAAGCUCCCUCUGCCUCACUAAGCCAAAGAGAUGUGUUGAUGAAACAGCUACCUGUGGCCAUUCAGUUCAACCCCACAACAUGAUGGUGCCAUUUCUGAAAACCAAUUACUGAAUUCAAUGCCACUUGUCACUACCAAGGCUGCAUUAACCAUUG